GGCCCCAUAGCUCAGUCGGCAGAGCAACCGCCUUGUAAGCGGAAGGUCGCCCGUUCAAUUCGAGGCUGGGGCCU
rnacentral:tRNA from 1 species